CUAUUACUAUUACGCUGCACAAAUUUCUUCAAUGAUGUAUAAUAACUAAGUAGUAGGCGUUAUCAUGAAGCCUUCGACCAUGAAUAUUCAGAGUAAAAGCUAAAAUUUCGGAACGCAACGGCCACGUUCCCGCGAACAGAACUGUCAACUUCAUUGUGUUUAUUCAUGUAAGCCGACGACCAUUAGGGCAUAAUAAAAUAAAACGUUUUUAACUGAAAAUAACAGUAAACAUUUUAUAAGAAUGCGAAAAAAUAAAGAAAAUAGUGUUAACAGUGACGAAUUGCAAAAUUGGAGGGAAAAAACCAGAAGAUCGGAGAAGAAAAUGCAACUUUCGCGAUCAAGGUCAAUUGCGGCGUCCUUUCGUCGAUAGCAUAGCUACACGGACAUGAUAAAUAUCAAGAUAAAAAUGUAGCAGACCAUGGAUGUACCUACAUUAAUAGUGCCAGCGAACGAAUGUUUAAUGCAUACAUAACUAAAAUUCCGAAAAGGAACAUAAACGUCGGCAAGUGAAGAAUGAAGCGAGUUAAUUUUGACUUUGUUGGAAGGAGGCACCGCGCCAGAAGGUUGAAUAUGGGAAUAAUCCUUCUAGGACAAUCUUGUUGUUUGCUUGCAGAUAUAUAAUUACGAACAUUACAAAACAACAAUGACCCGGACAAGAUUAAAAAAAAAAAAAAAAAAAAAAAAAACUGCCUUGUUAAAUUACUGGUGCUCUGAAGAUGAACCCAGAGACUCAAGCUGUGGCUGGUGAGACGUUUGUCAGUUGGGAACAAGGCUAGGUAUCGAAAUGAAACAAAAUAAAGUUUCCUGUGACCUGUUCCCUCACUGUGAUGAUUUAGCACUCAAUAAAUUGUCUGCUGUAACCAGCUAUGAAAAGGUAAUGUCACUCUUAAGUGACCACUGGUUUUUUUUUUUUGUGUGAUUAUUAUCACUGAGAAUCUUACCUAAGGCAGCUGUUCAAUUAUUAAAUCACAAUCAAUGGCAUAAGAGGUUUUUAAAUCAUUUACUUAAACAUGCUGUUGACAAGUGGUGUUUUAAGAAAGUUUAGCAGAAGUACUAAUGACUUAUAAAUUAUUGUAAGUCCUAAAGCCCGGUACUUUAAACUUCAAGGGCUCAACUAUCAAUAUUUUUUUCUAAUGUAUGUUUUGCUGUUGCUUUUCUUUGUUAUCAUAUUAUAAAGUAUUUAUUACUUAUUUACUAACAACAUACAAAAACCCUGGUCAAAAGCAGCAAUAAGGAAACGGAGCAACACUUUCCCCUCUGUGUCACAAUGUGGUCGCACUCAGCGACACCACAACAGCCUGUGUUCAUUUAGAACAAAUUCUUGAAAGUUGUGGUUAACUUAAAUACACUUUUUUCAGUGCAAUGACAUCAUAUUUACAAGGAGUCAAGGAUUUUGUCCUGGUUAAUCAUACAAAAUUCCCUUGUGAUCUGUGCCAAUACCUACAGUUAUUCUGAAAAAUGAUUACUAUUGAGCAAUCGACAGUCAAUACUAGGAAGUUAUGUGACUGUGAUAUAUACUGUGUGUACAAAAUAUAUGCCUAUGAUGUUCUUACACAAGAAUAUACACUUUACACAGCUUAAUAUUUAACUAAAACAUUUUAUGUACAAAACCCUAAGGGAAGUAAAUACAGUUAUAUUUUUAAUAUAAGUAAAUUGAUUGCAACUAAGCAGUUUAAGUUAACAAAGCAUUGGAAUUGCCAUGAAACUAAUUGUUGCAUGAACACUUUUUACUUGAUUUUAUGAGUGUAGAAAAUAUCUCUGAUUCAUGUGGAAAGCUGAGAUUACAGUUUUAAGUCCUGUCAUUAGACUAUUUGACUAUAUGUCUCUCUAGCUAUGUGUCAGACCUUUCAUGAAGUGUCCAAGAUCUAGAGGUCACACAAUGAGCAACUGUUAGAUGUUAUAUCUAUUGUCCUUAUGAUAAAUGUUUUUUAGACUAUGUAGGUACCUAUACAAGAUGCACUCUAUUAUUCUUGAUACCAUAUGGAGCUAGGUAUAAUCAAAUUAAACUAGCUCCUUAGUACCUUAGAAAGCUGUCUAAUAUCUGGAUUUAUUUCUUUACCCAAUAAGAAAUAAUGUCAAUAUAUCACCUAGUGUGACUUAUUUUGGUGGCUAAUUGAAAGUAAAGGGUUAUAAAUAUACUUUUUGAAGAUAUUUAUUUACUAUACAGUAAUAGUUUAUCGACCUGCUGGGGCAACC